rnacentral:rRNA from 1 species
UACGGAGGGUGCAAGCGUUAUCCGGAUUUACUGGGUUUAAAGGGUGCGUAGGUGGGUCUGUAAGUCAGUGGUGAAAUCUCCGGGCUUAACCCGGAAACUGCCAUUGAUACUAUAGAUCUUGAAUAUCCUGGAGGUGAGCGGAAUAUGUCAUGUAGCGGUGAAAUGCUUAGAUAUGACAUAGAACACCAAUUGCGAAGGCAGCUCACUACGGGAUCAUUGACACUGAGGCACGAAAGCGUGGGGAUCAAACGGG